AAUAUACAGAUUAUGCGAAACGUGAAGAGUUACGUUCUAAGAAGUGUCAAAAGGGACUUCGUAAUUAGACUAGAGUAUAGUUGCAGCAACAAAAAUUGUUAUACCCAGAUACUUUGUCCAAAAAUAGCCCUGGUCAUGUUUAAAAACUGUAUUAGAAAUUGUGUCAACAACAAUCAUCGAAUUUUAUAGUAAUGGAUUAAACACGAAAAUUUAGAAUUUAUGGCUCUAUUAGACAAUCUGUACUUGAAAAAAGAUCGCAGUAUGUAUAUUGCUCAGCCAAGGUUUUUAUUUAAAACCAUCGACCAUGAAAUGAGAAAUUGCAUUUUUAAUUUUUCAUUUAGGCCACAGAUUAAAUUUGCCGCCAAAAGCCGCCGAGAGACCCUCAAGCGAUAAAAUUUGCAUAGAAAAGACAUUGAAAUAUGGAGCUUCAUUUAUUCCUUUACAAUUUUUAUAAAAAUGGAGUGUAAUUAGACAACCAUUACUUUAAAGAGAGUUACGUCUAAAA